rnacentral:lncRNA from 1 species
UGAAGUGAGAGGGGAGGGGCGGCCGAAGGGGAAGAAAAAGGGAGAGAAGGGAGCUUGCUUCUUGAUGAGCUUUGAUGAGAAGUGAUGGUGUGAUCUUAGCUUCACUUAAUGCAUAUCUUGCUUUAAUUGAAGAAGUGAUGGUGAGGAUGUCAUGAAGUGAUAUGAAUAGAGAGUGAGAAGAGAGAAGGAGAGAAGAGAGAAAGGAGAGAGCCGAGAGAGAGAGAGACCGAGUAAGGGGGAGAGAGAGAGGACUUGCAUGUGUGUGUGAUCUUGCCAUUACUACACUAUCUUGUUAGUCAAAGGUGGAUUAAUGGUGGAUAUGUCAUCCUAUGGAAUGAAUAGAGAAGGAGAAGAGAGGAGGAGGGAGGAGAGAGGACCGAGAGUGAGAGAUAUGAGAGAGAGAUGUGUGAGCUUAAAGGGUGGGAUUGUGUUGGCUAACUAGGUUAGCUAUUUUAGUUAGGUUUUAAUGUUGCAUGUGUGCAACAUUUAUGGGGGAGGAAUGAAGUAAUGAGGGAGAGAGAGAAGUGUGCGUGAGGGGAGGGAGAGAGGGAGAGACCGAGAGUGAGAGAGAGUGAGGGAGAAAGAGAGAGAUUGAGAGAGAGUCGAGAGUGAGAGAGAUUGAGAG